UACGGAGGAUCCGAGCGUUAUCCGGAUUUAUUGGGUUUAAAGGGUGCGCAGGCGGGAGAUUAAGUCGGCGGUGAAAUUUUGCAGCUCAACUGUAAAAGUGCCUUCGAAACUGGUUUCCUUGAGUGUAGAUGAAGUAGGCGGAAUUUGUGGUGUAGCGGUGAAAUGCAUAGAUAUCACGAGGAACUCCGAUUGCGCAGGCAGCUUACUAAACUACUACUGACGCUCAGGCACGAAGGCGUGGGGAUCAAACAGGAUUAGAUACCCGGGUAGUCCCU
rnacentral:rRNA from 1 species